AAUCAACGCUGGCGGCGCGCUUAACACAUGCAAGUCGAACGAGAAAGAGGAGCGAUCCUUGAGUAAAGUGGCGUACUGGUGAGUAACACGUGGAUAUCUACCUCCUGGUGGGGAAUAACCUGGGGAAACCUGGGCUAAUACCGCAUAAGUUCGCGAGAAGAAAGGCGUAAGUCGCCGGGAGAGGAGUCCGCGGUCGAUUAGGUAGUUGGCGGGGUAAGAGCCCACCAAGCCAAAGAUCGAUAGCCGGCCUGAGAGGGCACACGGCCACACUGGCACUGAAACACGGGCCAGACUCCUACGGGAGGCAGCAGUGGGGAAUCUUGCACAAUGGGGGAAACCCUGAUGCAGCGACGCCGCGUGAGCGAUGAAGCCCUUCGGGUGUAAGCUCUUUCGGCAGGAACGAUAAUAGACGGUACCUGCAGAAGAAGCUGCGGCUAACUACGUGCCACGCCGCCGCCGUAAC
rnacentral:rRNA from 1 species